rnacentral:lncRNA from 1 species
CAUUUUCGCACCACCAUUCCUGCACCGCUGGCGUCUCUGGGCCUACGUAUUGGUGAGAGUAUUAGCGAUGGUGGUGAUGAUGACAACAGCCAAGCCGUCGCUAAAAGUUCUUUUGUUUUAACAUAUUAAUUAAUUUUAAUAAGAUAAUUAAUUAAUUAAUUAGAUAUUAAUUUAAUUAAUUAAGUAUUUUAUUUAAUUAUGAUUAGGG